ACCAUAGUGCACAUCAGUACAUCAAAUACCUGAAGGAAGAGCUGCAUAACAGUCAGAGAUAAAAGGGAAGGUUUCUUUCAAAUGACUGGAGGAAGGGAGGUGCAGCUUUGGCUCAGCUCUUAACAGUGCAACAUCUAGUGCCUCUAUAGUUCUCUUGGACACAGAUGGCUGCUUUCGAAGAAGAAAGAAGUGGAAAGUGAUGGAGUUUCUAUGCUCCAGCUCUCUUUGCCUGCUGCCAUCCACGUAAGAUGUGACUUGCUCCUCUUUGCCUUCUGCCAUAAUUGUGAGCCCCCCUCAGCCAUGUGGAAUGAUGGAAAACAGAACAAGCCAUGGAGGCCCCAGGGAUCAGGCAGGGCCAAGAGGAUCUGAUGGCGGAAGGGGGAGCACAUCAACAAGACCUUACAAGGCAACUUGCAUGGAUGCUCUGAAGCAACUUUGAGGUCUCCUUGAUGAGGAAAGUUGGCUCAACCUGCUGUAGAGUAGGCCCACAGCCAAGCCAUUGAGAGACAAGUCCAUGGGAGACAAAUUAGCUCAUGCAGCUGAGAUGUCCUGGAGAUUUUCCACAGCACCACUUGGCCAGUGCCUAGACAAGAGUUCUACCUGUGACAAGAAAUGAUAAUCAAAUCAGCUGGGCAUUAUCAAGCAAAAUGAUGAAAAUGUAUUUUAAUGUAAAACAUACCAGGCUAUUCUUUGGUAUGACACCUGACGGGAAGCUUGGAUCAGGUUGAGUAUGGCAGAAAGUCUCAUGCAUCAUUCCUGUGCCUAAGUGACAAUCUCAGUUGAGACCUUCAGGUUUUCCCACCUUAUCUAUCUCAACGACUGGGUUCCUUUCCACUUUGCCAUUCCUCAUCCCUCCACUGACUGCCAUAUUGAUUUUUCAAAAUGUAAAUAUAAUUAUGUCACUCAUCUUCCAAAAGUUCUUAAGUAAUUGCUUAUAACCCACAAUAUGAUAGAAAAACUGAGAGUGGUGUAGAGGAUCCUUUAGGCCUUGGGCCUGCCUACCUGCUCAGCAUUAUCUGCUCUACCCUCAUUAACCCCCUCUGCACUGGCUAUACUGAGAAAUUUGGUAUCCCCCAAAGUUAUCAUGACAUGCUGCCCUUUUGGCUGGCCAGCUCUUGCUACCUGCUGCAAGAGAACAGCUACUCUCCCUUCAAGUCCAAAUGUUAUCUAUCCUGUUG
rnacentral:lncRNA from 10 species